rnacentral:rRNA from 1 species
UACAGAGGUCUCAAGCGUUUGUUCGGAUUCAUUGGGCGUAAAGGGCGCGUAGGCGGCGGGGUAAGUCGGGUGUGAAAUCUCAGGGCUCAACCCUGAAACUGCACUCGAUACUGCUCUGCUUGAGGACUGGAGAGGAGACUGGAAUUCACGGUGUAGCAGUGAAAUGCGUAGAUAUCGUAAGGAAGACCAGUGGCGAAGGCGGGUCUCUGGACAGUUCC